GAAGGUUCAGGAUCUUCAACGAAAAUUCAAGAGUUGUGAAAUUACAAAAAUUGCUCGAAAGGACAACGGAAAAGUCGACGCAUUAUCCAGGCUUGUGUUCAUGGGGGUAGACGGCCUUGACAGAACGGUUCACAUUAAAAUCAUCACAGAACCCAGCAUCAGUCAAAUCCUCGACAUCAUGGACAUUGACAACGAACCAUCCUGGAUGGACCCGAUCAUAGAAUUCAU
rnacentral:lncRNA from 1 species